rnacentral:rRNA from 1 species
AUUGAACGCUGGCGGCAGGCUUAACACAUGCAAGUCGAGCGGGGGAAGGUAGCUUGCUACCGGACCUAGCGGCGGACGGGUGAGUAAUGCUUAGGAAUCUGCCUAUUAGUGGGGGACAACAUCUCGAAAGGGAUGCUAAUACCGCAUACGUCCUACGGGAGAAAGCAGGGGAUCUUCGGACCUUGCGCUAAUAGAUGAGCCUAGGUCGGAUUAGCUAGUUGGUGGGGUAAAGGCCUACCAAGGCGACGAUCUGCAGCGGGUCUGAGAGGAUGGUCCGCCACACUGGGACUGAGACACGGCCCAGACUCCUACGGGAGGCAGCAGUGGGGAAUAUUGGACAAUGGGGGGAACCCUGAUCCAGCCAUGCCGCGUGUGUGAAGAAGGCCUUAUGGUUGUAAAGCACUUUAAGCGAGGAGGAGGCUACUUUAGUUAAUACCUAGAGAUAGUGGACGUUACUCGCAGAAUAAGCACCGGCUAACUCUGUGCCAGCCGCCGCAGUAAGAC